AUUGAACGCUGGCGGCAGGCCUAACACAUGCAAGUCGAGCGGAUGAGGGAAGCUUGCUUCCCGAUUUAGCGGCGGACGGGUGAGUAAUGCCUAGGAAUCUGCCUAUUAGUGGGGGAUAACGUUCCGAAAGGAACGCUAAUACCGCAUACGUCCUACGGGAGAAAGUGGGGGAUCUUCGGACCUCACGCUAAUAGAUGAGCCUAGGUAGGUUUAGCUAGUUGGUGAGGUAACGGCUCACCAAGGCGACGAUCCGUAGCUGGUCUGAGAGGAUGAUCAGCCACACUGGAACUGAGACACGGUCCAGACUCCUACGGGAGGCAGCAGUGGGGAAUAUUGGACAAUGGGCGAAAGCCUGAUCCAGCCAUGCCGCGUGUGUGAAGAAGGUCUUCGGAUUGUAAAGCACUUUAAGUUGGGAGGAAGAGUUGUAAGCUAAUAUCUUGCAGCUUUGACGUUACCAACAGAAUAAGCACCGGCUAACUACGUGCCAGCAGCCGCUGUAAGAC
rnacentral:rRNA from 1 species